AUGUGGUCAAUGGUGGAAAAGAGCCUGGAUGUGGCCCUCGGCUAUGGGCUGUGGAGAAACAUGGAGGAGGCUGGCGCGGGUCCCUCAUCGGGACACGUGCGUCCCCCCGCUGGGACACUGCGCUCUGCAACCCUUGCUGCUGCCACAGGGCACCCGUGCUGCGGGGCAGGUGGAGUCCUGCAGCGGACGUGGAAACGGUUUUCCUUGAGGGAAUGCCUUUUUCUAUGCCAGACAAAUGGCAACGACAGAUGGGACAUAACAGUGUUGGAGGCAUGCAAUGUUGGCAGAAACCAAAAUUACGAAAAUCCACUUUCCAACAACUUGGAGCACAUGGAGUACCACCAACAGGUGUGUCCCAAGGCAAUGAGAGUCUUUGUUGCUGCUCAUCUGAUUAAACUGACCACCAAGACAAUUCUAGUGGAAGAGGUCAUCAAAAAGCUUCUUGCCACCUGGACGGAUUACAGACUAGAAGAUAACUUGGACUUCUGCUUUAUGACAGUGUCUGUAGUGAUUUUGAAUGCGUUGGGCAAAGCAGAAAAAACAGCUAGUCUGCAGACUGGGAAGGAUGCCAUAACCAGUACCAGAAGGAGAGGACCUUCCAGGAGGCAGUGGAGUGGGAUGAGUGGCUCACCGGUGUCCCUGAAGGAACUAUGUCUUGGAGAGGCAGCCUGGGAGGGCCGGCAGCUUGUCACCUAUUCUGAGCGACUUGUAUGAGAAGUCCAGCAGGUGCAUUUCAGUUGUUUCAGUGGACCCUUGACCAGCUCUACAGGGAACAAGUUGAUCCUCCCUUGUCCUUACUGGGGCAAAACUCCAGCUGAACUCCUGCUUCGUGAGGGACUUCAGGACCCCAUGCCCACAGUAAGGUUAUGGGAAACCUAUUAGCAGUUGUACAACAAUACUCUUGUCUGCUGGCUUUGAUCUCUGGUAUAUUAAAUUAGCAGCCAGGAUGACAUAGUAAUGAUUAGUCUUGAGGGACAGGUUGGCAGACACAGUAAAACAGAAAAGGAAACCUCUGGGAUGGCUUCUGCAUGCUCACUCCAACAGCUAUGCUGUCUUCUCCUCACUCUGUCUCCAUAAUGUUGGGUGUAUUUACACUGUAAGCUAGCGGUGACGCAUGUUUCAGUGCUGUGACAUCCCUGAGCUGCUGCAGUGACGCUCAGGAGCUCCGCUUUUGGAGCCUAGCCACUGCGGUGUGGAGCUCAGCACCCUUCGGCUGUGGUGGAGGCACAAACCUCCUGUGCGUUUCUUUGGGCUGCCAGGCAACGUGGGGAAGAUGCUGCCUUUCUGCAGCCUGGCUUAGAUACCCCCGUGCUGUUCCCAGCCAUGCUGGAGGUGUCUGGGAAGAGGGCCAAAAGUGCUAGCACCUUGUAAUUAAUACCUGGUUUGGCUAUAACCUUCUUGUCUAACAUUAAUGGCUGCAUCCGUAUUAAAACACAUCAAUUGCCCAGUUUAAUUAGGGUUUGUGGUUUUGUGGUCUGUAGCGCAGCCCAUACAUUGCCAGGCUCCCCGAGAAGCAGUGGCGAGCUGGCCUCUCUGGUGGGUGAGGAGGAAAGACUGCGGCUGCCCAUCUGCCCUGGGCAGCCUGGACUCUGGGCAGCUGCCUGCUCAGCCUGUGCCUGGAGCCACUCUUGUUGACAAUUAUUUAAUUUCAGACUAGGAAAAAAUAAUAAAAACUUGUGCCUUAUGCCUGCA
ensembl:lncRNA